UACGGGAGGCAGCAGUGGGGAAUAUUGCACAAUGGGCGCAAGCCUGAUGCAGCCAUGCCGCGUGUAUGAAGAAGGCCUUCGGGUUGUAAAGUACUUUCAGUCGUGAGGAAGGUGUUAAGGUUAAUAACCUUAGCAAUUGACGUUAGCGACAGAAGAAGCACCGGCUAACUCCGUGCCAGCAGCCGCGGUAAUACGGAGGGUGCGAGCGUUAAUCGGAAUUACUGGGCGUAAAGGGCACGCAGGCGGUUAAUUAAGUUGGAUGUGAAAUCCCCGGGCUUAACCUGGGAAUGGCAUUCAAGCUGGUUAGCUAGAGUCUUGUAGAGGGGGUAGAAUUCCAUGUGUAGCGGUGAAAUGCGUAGAGAUGUGGAGGAAUACCGGUGGCGAAGGCGGCCCCUGGACAAAGACUGACGCUCAUGUGCGAAAGCGUGGGGAGCAAAC
rnacentral:rRNA from 1 species